CGUAUCACCCAAGACAACUUUACGGAGUUGACGAUUGACGGAGCGAAGCGACGUCAAAGCGUUCAUUAAAGUCGAGUUGGCUUAGGGAUACGUUCGUUGGGUAGGGGAGCGUUCUGUAAGCCUGUGAAGGUGUGUCGUGAGGCAUGCUGGAGGUAUCAGAAGUGCGAAUGCUGACAUAAGUAACGAUAAAGCGGGUGAAAAGCCCGCUCGCCGGAAGACCAAGGGUUCCUGUCCAACGUUAAUCGGGGCAGGGUGAGUCGACCCCUAAGGCGAGGCCGAAAGGCGUAGUCGAUGGGAAACGGGUUAAUAUUCCCGUACUUGGUGUUACUGCGAAGGGGGGACGGAGAAGGCUAUGUUGGCCGGGCGACGGUUGUCCCGGUUUAAGCGUGUAGGUGUGUGUUCCAGGUAAAUCCGGUUCACUUUAACACUGAGGCGUGACGACGAGGCACUACGGUGCUGAAGCAACAAAUGCCCUGCUUCCAGGAAAAGCCUCUAAGCAUCAGGUAACACGAAAUCGUACCCCAAACCGACACAGGUGGUCAGGUAGAGAAUACCAAGGCGCUUGAGAGAACUCGGGUGAAGGAACUAGGCAAAAUGGUGCCGUAACUUCGGGAGAAGGCACGCUGACACGUAGGUGAAGUGAUUUACUCACGGAGCUGAAGUCAGUCGAAGAUACCAGCUGGCUGCAACUGUUUAUUAAAAACACAGCACUGUGCAAACACGAAAGUGGACGUAUACGGUGUGACGCCUGCCCGGUGCCGGAAGGUUAAUUGAUGGGGUCAGCGCAAGCGAAGCUCCUGAUCGAAGCCCCGGUAAACGGCGGCCGUAACUAUAACGGUCCUAAGGUAGCGAAAUUCCUUGUCGGGUAAGUUCCGACCUGCACGAAUGGCGUAAUGAUGGCCAGGCUGUCUCCACCCGAGACUCAGUGAAAUUGAACUCGCUGUGAAGAUGCAGUGUACCCGCGGCAAGACGGAAAGACCCCGUGAACCUUUACUAUAGCUUGACACUGAACAUUGAGCCUUGAUGUGUAGGAUAGGUGGGAGGCUUUGAAGUGUGGACGCCAGUCUGCAUGGAGCCGACCUUGAAAUACCACCCUUUAAUGUUUGAUGUUCUAACGUGGACCCGUAA
rnacentral:rRNA from 1 species